rnacentral:misc_RNA from 1 species
CAGCAACAUGUUUGGAUUGCAAGCAUGCAUUUAGUGGACCAACAAGGUCAGACUUCUCUAGCUCUUACAAACACAAGUGAUAUACUGAUGUUGCUGCAAUCCAUAAAAAUCUCUGUUAAUGGAAGUAAAAACAUUUGAGGCACUUAAUUAUGAUUUAUGGGUUGAAUUAUGGUGGAUUGCUGUUGGUAUUGCAUUGACAAUGGGUCUUGGGUCUAGUUUAUACAACUUCAUUCUUUAUUUGGGGCCUUAUAUUGUGGUGGACGAAUUGGAUGCUUUCUCACUAGAAAAUAAUAGAAUCGGUGACACUCACUUCAAUACAAUCAAAUGUUGGUUGUUCUCACAUUUUCAACUUUCAAACUUCUUCAUAACUUG